UACGGGGGGGCAAGGCAGUUGUUCGGAAUUACUGGGCGUAAAGGGCGCGUAGGCGGCCUUCUAAGUCGAAUGUGAAUACCCGGGCUCGAACCCGGGAACCUGCGUCCGUAGUACUGGAAGGCUUGAAUCCGGGAGAGGGAGUGCGGAAUUCCGGGGUGUAAGUGGGUAGUAAAUGCGUAGGAUAAUCCGGAGGAACACCUGUGGCGUAA
rnacentral:rRNA from 1 species